AUCCGGCGGCUUGAACAAGGGCCUUGCUGGUGACACCACGCUUGAGAGCCUGACGGAGAUGAGCAUUGAUCUGAAAUUAAAAUUAUAAGUUUAAAGAAAUAAGAACUGUGAGAUAAAAUUAUUCGAAAUUGUUGGCAAGUUUUGACUAAGAAUAAUAAUGAAUUGAAAUUUACCUGGAUGACAUUGUCUCCGAGCUUGUAGUUUUGGGAGAUGAACUUGAGG
ensembl:ncRNA M163.16 ncRNA